UCCCGAGCUCCAGCCGGGUCCUGUCUUCCCUCCCGCUACCGCGCACCAGCGGAGCGCGCAUGCGCUCGCGCUCUCGCUACUUGGAGAGGACUCUGCGCCUGUCGCGAGAACGUCAGCUUUUUGCGCUGUCCUCUGUCGGCGUGGAGGACUACUCGCACGGGACUCUGCGACUCCGGUGCUAUACGACGGGUCACAAAGACGAUCAUAGAGACGAGAGGAAAGAGUAAGCUCUGUCGUCUCGCCGCCGAUGGUGCUGCAGUGCGUCUUCCGCACUUACGCGGAGCGGUCACGCGAGGAAGCCUCCCGCCAAGCGCUGGGAGGGGCAGUUCUAACAAAGGCGAGCAAUGCUUGGAGCCCAAGCAUGGGGAAUGCGCUUCUCAGAGCCUCCUGAGAGGCAGCAGCCCAUCACCUAAACUCUGCUCAUCCGAGACAUAAAACUCCCCGUGAUGUCUGGUGAUAGCGAGACUAGCAUAACACGCCAACAAGCGACCAAGAGCGGACGCCAGAGAGGAGACCUCGCGCAUCCUGUCUCCAGGCAGGGAUGUGGGGUGAUUUGACUGUGCACAUCCUUCAACCUCCUGUUGCUUGUGCUGGUACCUGUCAAACCCCGAAACAGGCACACUCCCUCCUCCCCCUCAGUAUCUGACGUCCUGGAAUUCAGGAGACAAGCAGUUCCUUGUUGGAUUCAGCUACCCAAGCGCUGCCUAAAUAUGCCUAUUAAAAAACAUAGCAUGAAUGCCAGCGAAACAUGUAGUUAAUGGCAAACUUUAAGUUCUAACUGGACAAAUAUGUGCCCCUCGACCAUAUUAAUCUGUUUAUGGGUCCAGUCAUACUUUUCCUGGCCUCCUAGAAAUGUAAAUAUUAGUAUUUUACAUCUGUUAAUGGACAAUGAAAAGACUAGUCACAUACCAAUUAAUCACAAUGAUCCUGGUUUAUUUACUCCUUUCCUAGAAAAAAUCUUAUGAAUUGAUUUUAUCAAAUAAUUUAUUUUAGGGCUCCAAAACAAAGCAAUAUAUAAACACUGCUAAAUGAUCUAAAUAAGGUAGGAAUGCAUGCGUAGUUUAAAGAGCAACACCAAUGUCCAAUUUGGGGGAAAAUGCCUUACAGUGCCUGGCAUAUAAUAGAUAUAUGGUCUUCUUUUAUGGUGUGAUUGGAGUAAGAUACACGUUAUGAAAUAGGGCACCAGAUUUCAGUUUUGCGAAAAUAAUUAAAUUUCCUCCAAGUUACCUAAUGACUGAAGAGAGAGACCAAAAGAUGCAAUUCAGUUCAUCUGUAUUUACGGAGCACCAUGGGUAUGGUAAUGAGACCGCUGACUAGGAGAGUCCAGAGCUAGUGACAGGGCCCCCAUGGGAAGGGCUGGGAGGAGAGAUGGUCAGUCUGGGGAGUUAAAUAUGUGUCCAAAGAGGAUGGCAACAGCAGGAAAGAGGCUGGGCAGACACGCAACACGUAGGGAGCAAGGUGAAGCCAGGAGGUGGCAAAGCAAGACAAUGAGAAAUCCAAGGGAGGCUGAGCCAAGAAUGCCAGGGUCAGGAGGACAAGCAGGCAGCACAGCCUAUCAGCAGGCGCUGGAGUGCAGGGGGAUUCAAAAUAAGCUUAGUUCAGUAAACUUGAACAGAAGGUGGGACAUUGGUUCACAGCAACCGUAACUUCAUUCAUUCAUUCAUUCAACAAAUGCUUACUGGGAGUUUACUAGGUGGCAGGCACUUUGCUAGCCCCGGGGAUUCUGCCCAGAGUAAGACAGUGAGCUUCUGGAGCUUACAUUCUAAUGGACUUGAUUCUGCUUCCAGAGGCCGAGGCAGGCCAGGCGUGCAUGUGAGGACCAAGGGGCUACAGCAGUGGGGGCGGGUAGCGGGGGAGAGAGAAGAGGCAGGAGUGAGGUGGGGCCCAGCACGGGCUAUGUGCCAAGGCCAAGCAGAAGAAACAGAAAGGAACAAGACCUGGACGCUGCGUUUCAGGGGCUUUUAUGCAAAAGAGAAGACAAAUGAGGCUGAACUGAGAAGGGCUCUACUGAACAUACGGACGGUUAUAGGAAGAUAGCAGAGAGAUAGAUUCAAGUCCACUUGGGGGACUGGAUAAGGCGCUUUAUAGUGUUUUGUGUUUAUUUUGAAGUCGGCACAGGAUUUUCUUAAAGAAUUUACUCAUCGGUUCAUUUUGUAAUAAAAGGAAGGGCUUCGAGAAAUGUGUAGAGCCAGAAUUCUCCCUGAAUGAGAAGCUUAACAGUUUUAAAUCGUUUUAGAGUGUAGUGGAGACUACCCCACUUAGUAAGGAACAGUGAAUAAUUUAUUCAUUACAAGAUAAUUUUAUCAGCCGUCCCAGAUUCCACUGGAGGUUUCUAGGACUUUAUGUCCCAGGGACCCUGUCAUCCCAGAACUAGGAAUGCUGUUGUCGAUACCGUUGGCCUGCUCUGAUCCCAGCCUUAAAAGGAAAGAGAGUGAAGAGAAUCUAUACAGCAGCCUGGAAUCUGGUGAGAAAAGUGUCUACCUCGUUCUUCAGGUGCUGAUAUGGUUCAGAGGCACGCCUGGAGGAAGAAACAGGGUAGGAAGGGAAAAAGACAUUGAUUUCCGGAACAAGUGGGGCUGGAAGUCCCCAAAGGGAUUUGCGAGCAAUUUCCCGGCAGUCAAGCCCUGGCUGGACCUCACGGUGGCCCCUGCCUUCUGGACAUCACGGAACCCAAAGGCCAGAACAAGGAGGCGAGAUGCAGGAAGCCUCAUGAAGGGGUACAGAGUGGGACUAAUAUCCCUGCCGAAGAAAUCUCGAUGGCAAUUAGUACUAGCAAAGACUUCUGAAUUGAGCAGAUACGGACAUCAGUUACUUCAAAACAAAUUCCACACAGAUUCCUUCUCAAUCUAGGAUUACACCCAACAUUUAGAUAAUGUUUAUACUUGGCUCCAAAAGGAAUGUUUCAAACUGAACUAGUUCUGUUUAUAAGAAGAUAUUACUAGUAAGGAGAUACUGUGUCAGUGGGAGGAUAGCAUUUGGACCAUUUGCCCAAAACAGACUUGAAAUGUUAUGAAUAAUGAUGUUUUGAACUCUAGUCUUAACACAAAAGACAAAAAAAAUACAGUAGUAUUCUCCAAAUCCUUAUAGCAAUUAAAAAUUGAGCGAUUUAAAAUUUUAAUUCAGAAGUGAGUUUAAUUUGAAAUUAGAAGUGAUUUUAUUUUAAGACUGGAAAGGCACUUAGGGAAAAGACUCAAUUGAAGAAACUGGAGAAAUAAGAGGACCACAAACGGAUGAGAUGCUCCGGCAAGAAGCUGAAAUACAAAUCUGAGCUGCAGCACUGAGAAGAAAGGCAGAAAAAAGCCAGUGUCUGGCACCCCAAGAAACCCGCUUUGCAGCGAGGAUGUGGGGAGCUAGGCAAGGAUGCCUCUAAAAAGUGCAAUCCACCAAGUUUGUCCCCGCAAAAAUCCUUGAAGAUUCUGAGGAAGUGAAAAUGAGAGACGUUCCAGGAAAGGAGACAGUUUGGAAUCUUGGGUAUGUCCUAAAAAUGAGACAUAUAGUGCACUCUUGGAGUGUAUUUUAUCAAAAGGGAGCCUGGCGCUUGCUAACGCUGGGAGCAGUAAGAUGGCCUCGCUCACCCUGGGGGUCUAAUGACUUGCCCAAGGAACUUAGCAUGGAAUCUGGGAACAAAUUACUAGGUGACUAAUUAUAAGGCAAUGUGAUUGGUGCGUGCUUAUUAAAGACACAGAUCAAGUGUUGGGCACGAAGAAAUGGGAAAGUCUCCCAAAGGGGGUGCUGUUUGGGCUACGCAGAGAAAUGGUUGGGGUGAGGAAGGUGAGGCACUGCAGGGAGGGUCACUUGAGCAAAAUCUCAGACACUAGAGUACUUGGUGUGUCCUGGGUGCCCAUGAGGCUGGGAGCAUAGGCAGGGCAGGAUCAGAUGGGACCUUGCAGGCCGAGCUAAGGGGUUUGGUCUCCAAACUCUUCUGAUCUUCACUCUGUCAAUAAAACCUUUAAAAACCCUCCCCAAUAGAUGUAAUUUUUUGUUUAUAAAGGUAUUAUAAAUAUCAUACUUUUAUAUUAUCUACAUUGUAAACAAUACACAAAGAGAAUUUUUAAAAAUUUGAAGUGAAAAAUAAAAAUGAAAGUUUGAGUAUUUUCAGCUCUACCCCACUGGCUUGGCUUGUGCACUCCCUGAAAGAGGCAAAAAUGAGGCGCUGAAGGUUGUAAGCAGGGGAGAUCUGCCUGAAUCCCUUGGAAGGAACGGGUGGUGUAGGAAGCGGGAGAUCCCAAAUGGGCAGCAAUGGAAAGCAUCCGUUGUUUCAUUCUUAGCAUCCCAACACGCCUUGUCUGGGACUCCACUCCUGAAGCCAUCCAUCCUACCCCCUGACAGCCGCGAGAAAGGCACAGUUCAUUUUCUCAGACUCAAGAGGCUCUUGGUGGUUUCGUUAGACUGGCUGCAAGACCACCUGCUAAUAAGACUAGCUAUGGGCAAGAUUACGAAGUCAGUGCAGUAUCUUUCCCAUGCCCAGGGUCCCUUUGCUGUGCCUUCAUCUUAGUUCCUCGGUCAUCCCUUCAUCCACUCUUUCUAGAUGCCUGGGACUAAAAGCCCACUCUCAUAUAGAAGUCUAAUAUCACUUGGUUAAACCUUAAUACGGAUUUAAAUAAACAUUCUCGCCCAAGGGUAUUUGCAUUUUAAACCUUAUCCCUACCUUGUCCGGUGUUAGAGGGAUGGCAGGGAUUAAAUUGGAAGGAUGGGAGAAGUGAGGGGUGAAGACUGCUCUCCAGGACUCCAGCAUUGAGUGGCUACCUGUUCUCAGGUCCAGUUCCCAUCUGUCCAUGGCUGUGCAAUCACCCAUCCCACAUAGACCAAGGGUGAAAUGUUGGCUACUCUUUAUUACGUAGAUGAGAUGCUCAUGGAGACGCUGUCUGAAGGUUUUAGGUGUAGAACCUUGAGAAACUCUUUGAGAAAAAGAAUUUCUAGCAUUUUCCUUUUCUUUGGCUCUGGUCCAUGAAUGCUCUGCAGGAGGUAGGUUAGAGAUAAACACUAUGGAGGAUGAUAUUUAAAAGAGGAAUGAUAUCCUUGUUUAAUAUUUCAAAGCCUAUAACGUUGAAAGUUAAGUUACUUUGGGUCUCUCCCCAAUGUUUUCUUACUGUGAUAAGUGUUGUCUUUUCUUUCUUCUUCACAUUCCACAACAGCACACCCCCCAUUCCCGGUACGAGCCACUGAAUUUUCACAUGCCCUUACUAGUAUCUAAUUCUGAAGCCACAGCCUUGUGCAGUCUCUCUUGAUGAAGAUCACGUCCCUUUCAUUGAGGUUUGCAUCGUUCUUUGUGAGAUGCAGGAAACUGGGCUCACGGUGAUUUGGAUACGGUCAGUAUCAUAUUUGAUUUAUAUAGUAGGACCUAAACUAUGUGCUAUCAUCUGAUUUAUUUCCUCAACUAGAAAAAGAGGAAGUAAAAGUCCAUGUCUGCAUAAGUUGGAAUUUAGGCAAAAUUAGCUUCAAGCAUGCAAUUCGGGUCUUAUGAGGACACAUUUUAAACUAUUUUUGUGACUGUUCAUAUUCAACUCAUUGUACACUGUUGGGUCAGUUAGAGAGCCCUUCCGAGUCAUUUCUCUCAGUAUGGCAUGGGGAUGAUAAUAUCUACCAUGCUAGGUUAUAAUAAGAGUAAAGCAGGAUGCAUGUGGUAAUAUGGAUAGUCUAUUAGUGCUAUUCAUAAGUACUAUUACUACUACUCAUAAGUGUACUAUAAGAUAUAUAAUAUUAUAGCACUAUUCAUAAACUGUGAUAUUUUGUAAUGUCAGAAUUAUAGUGAUAAUAGAAAUAUAUUAGCAUACCCUAUCAGGGCAUUCCAAAAGCCUCCCCAAAGAAAUCUAACUGGUUCAUUUAAUGCACUACUUGCAUCGAAAACAUUUGAAUAGAGAACAGGCUCAACAUAAAACAAAAAGAUCUCUUUGCAUCAUUUUUCUUGUAACAAACAAAUCCGAUUUACAAAUGUUCUUCUGUAAAUUCUGGGGAAUGAGAGGCCUUGAAAUUAUUAGUGAGCAAAUCUGGUAAAUGGAAACAAAUGUCCAAUUCCCAUUUCUAUUAAUUUAAAUGUGUAUAAAAUGUUUAAAGGAACAGCAGGAGUAUGGGCUACGGUCAGAACACUUUCUUUCUGGUUUCUUAGUGUGCCUCCUAGAUGCUGUGGUGGGCUGAAUAAUGGCCCCUACAGAUUUCCAUGUCCUAAUCCCUAGAACAUGUGAAUGUCAUCUUACAAAGCAAAAGGGGCUUUGCAGAUGUGAUUAAGUUACGGAUCUGGAAAUGGGGAGAUUAUCUUGGAUUUUCUGGAUAUGCCCAAUGUAAUCAUAAGGGUCCUUCUCAGAGGGCUACAGGAGGAGACAGAGAAGAAAAAGGCAGUGUGACAACGGAAGCAGAGAUUGGAGUGAUGCGACCACAAGCCACAGAAUGUCAGCAGCCUCUAGAAGCUUGCAGAGGCAAGGAACGGAUUGUCCCCUGGAGUCUCCAGAAGGAACCAGCCCUGCUGACACCUUGACUUUAACCCAGUCAGAUUGAUUUUGGAUUUCUGACAUCCAGAAAUGUAAGAGAAUAAAUCUAUGUUAUUUU